CAGGUUAUCCACUUUCGCUCCUUGGGAAGGCCCGAAAAAGAUGAAUUUUGUUUACAAGUCAAAGCUUGAUUCAUAUGAUGAUGUUGUUAAGAGAGCAGCAAACCAACUCGCAGUCGAUGAUCCGUCCAAACUACGGCUUAUAUUACACAAUAUCUAUUCUCAGAGACCAAAAGCUGAUCCUAUAACAUAUCGAGGAGUAGAAACUUGUUAGAGAUGCUGCUGCAUUACGACCAAGUUAUCCACUUUCGCUCCUUGGGAAGGCCCGAAAAAGAUGAAUUUUGUUUACAAGUCAAAGCUUGAUUCAUAUGAUGAUGUUGUUAAGAGAGCAGCAAACCAACUCGCAGUCGAUGAUCCGUCCAAACUACGGCUUAUAUUACACAAUAUCUAUUCUCAGAGACCAAAAGCUGAUCCUAUAACAUAUCGAGGAGUAGAAACUUGUUAGAGAUGCUGCUGCAUUACGACCAAGUUAUCCACUUUCGCUCCUUGGGAAGGCCCGAAAAAGAUGAAUUUUGUUUACAAGUCAAAGCUUGAUUCAUAUGAUGAUGUUGUUAAGAGAGCAGCAAACCAACUCGCAGUCGAUGAUCCGUCCAAACUACGGCUUAUAUUACACAAUAUCUAUUCUCAGAGACCAAAAGCUGAUCCUAUAACAUAUCGAGGAGUAGAAACUUGUUAGAGAUGCUGCUGCAUUACGACCAAGUUAUCCACUUUCGCUCCUUGGGAAGGCCCGAAAAAGAUGAAUUUUGUUUACAAGUCAAAGCUUGAUUCAUAUGAUGAUGUUGUUAAGAGAGCAGCAAACCAACUCGCAGUCGAUGAUCCGUCCAAACUACGGCUUAUAUUACACAAUAUCUAUUCUCAGAGACCAAAAGCUGAUCCUAUAACAUAUCGAGGAGUAGAAACUUGUUAGAGAUGCUGCUGCAUUACGACCAAGUUAUCCACUUUCGCUCCUUGGGAAGGCCCGAAAAAGAUGAAUUUUGUUUACAAGUCAAAGCUUGAUUCAUAUGAUGAUGUUGUUAAGAGAGCAGCAAACCAACUCGCAGUCGAUGAUCCGUCCAAACUACGGCUUAUAUUACACAAUAUCUAUUCUCAGAGACCAAAAGCUGAUCCUAUAACAUAUCGAGGAGUAGAAACUUGUUAGAGAUGCUGCUGCAUUACGACCAAGUUAUCCACUUUCGCUCCUUGGGAAGGCCCGAAAAAGAUGAAUUUUGUUUACAAGUCAAAGCUUGAUUCAUAUGAUGAUGUUGUUAAGAGAGCAGCAAACCAACUCGCAGUCGAUGAUCCGUCCAAACUACGGCUUAUAUUACACAAUAUCUAUUCUCAGAGACCAAAAGCUGAUCCUAUAACAUAUCGAGGAGUAGAAACUUGUUAGAGAUGCUGCUGCAUUACGACCAAGUUAUCCACUUUCGCUCCUUGGGAAGGCCCGAAAAAGAUGAAUUUUGUUUACAAGU